rnacentral:rRNA from 1 species
GCGCACCAGUCGCGAAAACUCCACGAUGUGGGAAACCACGAUGGGGGAACUCCCAGUGCGCACACUUUGUGUGCGCUGUUCUCCUGCCUAAAAAGCAGGAGAAGGAAGGGCCGGGUAAGACGGGUGCCAGCCGCCGCGGUAAUACCCGCGGCCCGAGGGGUGCGCAUUAUUAUUGAGUCUAAAACGUCCGUAGACGGUCGGGUAGAUUCCUGGGUAAAUCGAACCGCUCGACGGCUCGAAUUCCGGGGAGACCGCCCGACUAGAGACCGGGAGAGGUUGGAGGUACUUCUGGGGUAGGGGUAAAAUCCUGUAAUCCUAGGAGGACCACCAGUGGCGAAAGCGUCCAACUAGAACGGAUCCGACGGUAAGGAACGAAGCCCUGGGGCGCAAACGGGAUUAGAUACCCGCGGAGUCC